AGCCUAUUGGCCUAAAAUGGUAGAGUAAUGUGUUGUUACACAAAGAUGUAGGUUCAAGGUCCUACAUAGGCUG
rnacentral:tRNA from 1 species